AUUGAACGCUGGCGGCAGGCCUAACACAUGCAAGUCGAACGAGUGGCGGACGGGUGAGUAAUGUCUGGGAAACUGCCCGAUGGAGGGGGAUAACUACUGGAAACGGUAGCUAAUACCGCCUACCAUCGGAUGACCCCCGAGGGGAUUAGCUAGUAGGUGGGGGAACGGCUCACCUAGGCGACGAUCCCUAGCUGGUCUGAGAGGAUGACCAGCCACACGGGAACUGAGACACGGUCCAGACUCCGACGGGAGGCAGCAGUGGGGAAUAUUGCACAAUGGGCGCAAGCCUGAUGCAGCCAGGCCGCGGGUAUGAAGAAGGCCUUAGGGUUGUAAAGUACUUUCAGCGAGGAGGCGUUACUCGCAGAAGAAGCACCGGCUAACUCCGGGCCAGCAGCCGCGGUAAUAC
rnacentral:rRNA from 1 species